rfam:Aedes aegypti strain Liverpool supercont1.432 genomic scaffold, whole genome shotgun sequence.
CCUCUCAUGGCGUAGAGGUUAACGCGCCCCAACUAGAGAUCGGGGAGUCGUGAGUUCGAUUCUCACUGAGAAGA